rnacentral:rRNA from 1 species
UACGUAGGGGGCGAGCGUUGUCCGGAUUUACUGGGCGUAAAGCGCGCGUAGGCGGAGAGUUAAGCGAGGUGUGAAAGCCCCCGGCUCAACCGGGGAAGGUCGCUUCGAACUGGCUGUCUUGAGGACGUGAGAGGAGUGUGGAAUUCCUGGUGUAGCGGUGAAAUGCGUAGAUAUCAGGAGGAACACCCGUGGCGAAGGCGGCACUCUGGUGCGUGCCUGACGCUGAGGCGCGAAAGCGUGGGGAGCGAACAGG